rnacentral:rRNA from 1 species
UACGUAGGUGGCAAGCGUUAUCCGGAAUCACUGGGUUUAAAGGGUGCGUAGGUGGGUGUUUAAGUCAGUGGUGAAAGCCCGCAGCUUAACUGCGGAAUUGCCAUUGAUACUGGAUACCUUGAGUACAGUUGAGGUGGGCGGAAUGUGUCAUGUAGCGGUGAAAUGCUUAGAUAUGACACAGAACACCGAUUGCGAAGGCAGCUCGCUAAACUGUAACUGACACUGAGGCACGAAAGCGUGGGGAUCAAACAGG